UUUCUUUCUGCUUCUCUACUUCUCUUUCUCUCUCUAGCUUUCUUUUUCUUUCUCUUUCUUUCCGGGGCACAUGAAGGGAUCCCAUCCGUCCCUGCCUGUGCUUUAAAGGCAAGCUUCUCGGGAGCCCGUUCUGUGAACCACCCUGAGAUCUAUGGAUGAGAAGCUGUAUAAAAAUGUAAUUACCUGCUAUUACUGUUAUUAUCAGAGCUUUUCUUCUGCGUACCCUUGAGUACCCCCAGAAAAAAGCACUGAUUAUUAUUAUUAUUAUUAUUAUUCUGUGCUCCUCAUUCCCACAGGUUUUCCAAAUGGACUUCAUUGAACUUGUUUAUUAUUAUUAUUAUUAUUAUUAUUAUUAUUAUUAUUAUUAUGCUGCAUUCUGCGCUCCCACAGGUUUUCCAGAUGGACUUUUUUGGGCUUUUUCCCAGCCAGAGCUGAGCUCCAGCACCUCUCAGCCAUUGGACCUUGCUCUGCAAGAGGGAACCACACGAUGCGCGCCAGCCAUAGGACUUGCUUUGACAACUAUAAGGGAAUGAAACAGUUAAAGCUUGUAUUUUUAUCCAGUGAACUGUGCUGAGAUCUUGUGAAAAGGGUGGAAGAAGAAGAAGAAGAAGAAGAAGAAGAAGAAGAAGAAGAAGAAGAAGA